UGGGGAAUUUUGGGCAAUGGGCGCAAGCCUGAUCCAGCAAUGCCGCGUGCAGGAAGAAGGCCUUCGGGUUGUAAACUGCUUUUGUCAGGGAAGAAAUCUUCUGGGUUAAUACCUCGGGAGGAUGACGGUACCUGAAGAAUAAGCACCGGCUAACUACGUGCCAGCAGCCGCGGUAAUACGUAGGGUGCAAGCGUUAAUCGGAAUUACUGGGCGUAAAGCGUGCGCAGGCGGCUUUGCAAGACAGAGGUGAAAUCCCCGGGCUCAACCUGGGAACUGCCUUUGUGACUGCAAGGCUAGAGUACGGCAGAGGGGGAUGGAAUUCCGCGUGUAGCAGUGAAAUGCGUAGAUAUGCGGAGGAACACCGAUGGCGAAGGCAAUCCCCUGGGCCUGUACUGACGCUCAUGCACGAAAGCGUGGGGAGCAAACAGGAUUAGAUACCCUGGUAGUCCACGCCCUAAACGAUGUCAACUGGUUGUUGGACGGCUUGCUGUUCAGUAACGAAGCUAACGCGUGAAGUUGACCGNCUGGGGAGUACGGCCGCAAGGUUG
rnacentral:rRNA from 1 species